UUUGUCUGUAUUGAGAGGCCUCUUGCUUUGUUAGUCUUGUAUUUUUUUUAAAUUAGGUUUCUUGUGUAUAAUUCGGAGUUUAAUAUGACGUCCAUUAUCACUGAACUAGUAUAUAGAUUUGUUUAGGGGUCAGUUGAAGGAUGCCUUCAGGUGCGGGAGUUUCUCGCUGCAUUGAUGACCUUCCGCUGUUGUCUGUUCUAUGGUCGGGUUGUUGUCUCGUUGACACAUUCCCGAUUUCCAUUCUCAAUUUUAUACUACAAUCAAUUAUGUCUGAGGGUUUGCAAAAUAAAACAUAAUUAACAUUUCAUAAAUUGUUAAUGUCCGACUCACUUUUUU
rnacentral:lncRNA from 1 species